rnacentral:rRNA from 1 species
UACGUAGGGUGCAAGCGUUGUCCGGAAUUAUUGGGCGUAAAGAGCUCGUAGGCGGUUUGUCGCGUCUGCCGUGAAAGUCCGGGGCUCAACUCCGGAUCUGCGGUGGGUACGGGCAGACUAGAGUGAUGUAGGGGGAGACUGGAAUUCCUGGUGUAGCGGUGAAAUGCGCAGAUAUCAGGAGGAACACCGGUGGCGAAGGCGGUUCUCUGGGCAUGUCCUGACGCUGAGGAGCGAAAGUGUGGGGAGCGAACAGG